UACGUAGGCAGCAAGCGUUGUUCGGAGUUACUGGGCGUAAAGGGUGUGUAGGCGGUUGUUUAAGGUUGGUGUGAAAUCUCCCGGCUCAACUGGGAGGGUGCGCCGAAUACUGAAUGACUAGAGUGCGGGAGAGGUGAGUGGAAUUCCUGGUGUAGCGGUGAAAUGCGUAGAUAUCAGGAGGAACACCGGUGGUGUAGACGGCUCACUGGACCGUAACUGACGCUGAGACACGAAAGCGUGGGUAGCAAACAGG
rnacentral:rRNA from 1 species